rnacentral:rRNA from 1 species
GUUUGAUCCUGGCUCAGAUUGAACGCUGGCGGCAGGCUUAACACAUGCAAGUCGAGCGGGGAAGGGUAGCUUGCUACCUGACCUAGCGGCGGACGGGUGAGUAAUGCUUAGGAAUCUGCCUAUUAGUGGGGGACAACAUUCCGAAAGGAAUGCUAAUACCGCAUACGCCCUACGGGGGAAAGCAGGGGAUCUUCGGACCUUGCGCUAAUAGAUGAGCCUAAGUCAGAUUAGCUAGUUGGUGGGGUAAAGGCCUACCAAGGCGACGAUCUGUAGCGGGUCUGAGAGGAUGAUCCGCCACACUGGGACUGAGACACGGCCCAGACUCCUACGGGAGGCAGCAGUGGGGAAUAUUGGACAAUGGGCGAAAGCCUGAUCCAGCCAUGCCGCGUGUGUGAAGAAGGCCUUUUGGUUGUAAAGCACUUUAAGCGAGGAGGAGGCUACCGAGAUUAAUACUCUUGGAUAGUGGACGUUACUCGCAGAAUAAGCACCGGCUAACUCUGUGCCAGCAGCCGCGGUAAUACAGAGGGUGCGAGCGUUAAUCGGAUUUACUGGGCGUAAAGCGUGCGUAGGCGGCUUUUUAAGUCGGAUGUGAAAUCCCUGAGCUUAACUUAGGAAUUGCAUUCGAUACUGGGAAGCUAGAGUAUGGGAGAGGAUGGUAGAAUUCCAGGUGUAGCGGUGAAAUGCGUAGAGAUCUGGAGGAAUACCGAUGGCGAAGGCAGCCAUCUGGCCUAAUACUGACGCUGAGGUACGAAAGCAUGGGGAGCAAACAGGAUUAGAUACCCUGGUAGUCCAUGCCGUAAACGAUGUCUACUAGCCGUUGGGGCCUUUGAGGCUUUAGUGGCGCAGCUAACGCGAUAAGUAGACCGCCUGGGGGAGUACGGUCGCAAGACUAAAACUCAAAGGAAUUGACGG